rnacentral:rRNA from 1 species
ACUGCUCAGUAACACGUGGACAACCUGCCCUUAGGUUGGGUAUAAACCCGGGAAACUGGGUAUAAUACCCGAUAGGUCUCGAUUGCUGGAAUGCAUCGAGAUUUAAAGCUCCGGCGCCUAAGGAUGGGUCUGCGGCCUAUCAGGUAGUAGUGGGUGUAGCGUACCUACUAGCCUACGACGGGUACGGGUUGUGAGAGCAAGAGCCCGGAGAUGGAUUCUGAGACACGAAUCCAGGCCCUACGGGGUGCAGCAGGCGCGAAAACUUUACAUGCUGGCAACAGCGAUAAGGGAACCUCGAGUGCCAGGUUACAAAUCUGGCUGUCGAGAUGCCUAAAAAGCAUUUCAUAGCAAGGGCCGGGCAAGACCGGUGCCAGCCGCCGCGGUAACACCGGCGGCUCGAGUGGUAACCGUUAUUAUUGGGUCUAAAGGGUCUGUAGCCGGCCGGAUAAGUCUCUUGAGAAAUCUGGCAGCUUAACUGUCAGGCUUUCAGGAGAUACUGUCUGGCUCGAGGCCGGGAGAGGUGAGAGGUACUUCAGGGGUAGGGGUGAAAUCUUGUAAUCCUUGAAGGACCACCAGUGGCGAAGGCGUCUCACCAGAACGGACCUGACGGCAAGGGACGAAAGCUAGGGGCACGAACCGGAUUAGAUACCCGGGUAGUCCUAGCCGUAAACGAUACUCGCUAGGUGUCGGCCACGGUGCGACCGUUGUCGGUGCCGUAGGGAAGCCGUGAAGCGAGCCACCUGGGAAGUACGGCCGCAAGGCUGAAACUUAAAGGAAUUGGCGGGGGAGCAC